rnacentral:rRNA from 1 species
UACAGAGGUCUCAAGCGUUGUUCGGAUUCAUUGGGCGUAAAGGGUGCGUAGGCGGCGCGGUAAGUCGGGUGUGAAAUCUCGGAGCUUAACUCCGAAACUGCAUUCGAUACUGCCGUGCUUGAGGACUGGAGAGGAGACUGGAAUUUACGGUGUAGCGGUGAAAUGCGUAGAUAUCGUGAGGAACACCAGUGGCGAAGGCGGCUCACUGGCCCGAUACUGACGCUGAGGUGCGAAAGCGUGGGGAGCAAACAGG